rnacentral:rRNA from 1 species
CCUACGGGAGGCUGCAGUGGGGAAUAUUGGACAAUGGGCGAAAGCCUGAUCCAGCCAUGCCGCGUGUGUGAAGAAGGCCUUCGGGUUGUAAAGCACUUUCAGUGGGGAAGAAAGCCUUGGGGCUAAUACCCUCGAGGAAGGACAUCACCCACAGAAGAAGCACCGGCUAACUCCGUGCCAGCAGCCGCGGUAAUACGGAGGGUGCGAGCGCUAAUCGGAAUUACUGGGCGUAAAGCGCGCGUAGGCGGUCUGAUAAGCCGGUUGUGAAAGCCCCGGGCUCAACCUGGGAACGGCAUCCGGAACUGUCAGGCUAGAGUGCAGGAGAGGAAGGUAGAAUUCCCGGUGUAGCGGUGAAAUGCGUAGAGAUCGGGAGGAAUACCAGUGGCGAAGGCGGCCUUCUGGACUGACACUGACGCUGAGGUGCGAAAGCGUGGGUAGCAAACAGGAUUAGAUACCCCAGUAGUC